rnacentral:rRNA from 1 species
AGUGAACGCUGGCGGUAGGCCUAACACAUGCAAGUCGAACGGCAGCACAGUAAGAGCUUGCUCUUACGGGUGGCGAGUGGCGGACGGGUGAGGAAUACAUCGGAAUCUACUUUUUCGUGGGGGAUAACGUAGGGAAACUUACGCUAAUACCGCAUACGACCUACGGGUGGAAGCAGGGGAUCUUCGGACCUUGCGCGAUUGAAUGAGCCGAUGUCGGAUUAGCUAGUUGGCGGGGUAAAGGCCCACCAAGGUGACGAUCCGUAGCUGGUCUGAGAGGAUGAUCAGCCACACUGGAACUGAGACACGGUCCAGACUCCUACGGGAGGCAGCAGUGGGGAAUAUUGGACAAUGGGCGCAAGCCUGAUCCAGCCAUACCGCGUGGGUGAAGAAGGCCUUCGGGUUGUAAAGCCCUUUUGUUGGGAAAGAAAAGCAGCAGGUUAAUACCCCGCUGUUCUGACGGUACCCAAAGAAUAAGCACCGGCUAACUUCGUG